AACGCACAUUGCGCCUCCCAGUAUUCUGGGAGGCACGCCUGUCUGAGCGUCAUUUCAACCCUCGCAUCCGGCUCGCGCCGGGGGCGGUGUUGGGGAUCGGCCGCCCCCCAGCGGGUGGCCGUCCCUUAAAUCCAGUGGCGACCUCGCCGUAGCCUACCCCGCGCAGUAGUAAAACACCUCGCGGGCGGAGGGCGGAGUGGUCACGCCGUAAAACCCCCCAAACCAUCACAAGGUUGACCUCAGAUCAGGCGGGGCUACCCGCUGAACUUAA
rnacentral:misc_RNA from 1 species